rnacentral:rRNA from 1 species
CAGUCGCCACGGUAAUACGUAGGGUGCAAGCGUUAUCCGGAAUUAUUGGGCGUAAAGAGCUCGUAGGCGGUUUGUCGCGUCUGCUGUGAAAACUGGAGGCUCAACCUCCAGCCUGCAGUGGGUACGGGCAAACUAGAGUGCGGUAGGGGAGAUUGGAAUUCCUGGUGUAGCGGUGGAAUGCGCAGAUAUCAGGAGGAACACCGAUGGCGAAGGCAGAUCUCUGGGCCGUAACUGACGCUGAGGAGCGAAAGCAUGGGGAGCGAACAGGAUUAGAUACCCCCGUAGUCCCUGUCUCUUAUAC